rnacentral:misc_RNA from 2 species
AUCCACGGCAACGUGCGGAAUAGGGCCACAGAGACGAGUCUUGCCGCCGGGUUCGCCCGGCGGGAAGGGUGAAACGCGGUAACCUCCACCUGGAGCAAUCCCAAAUAGGCAGGCGAUGAAGCGGCCCGCUGAGUCUGCGGGUAGGGAGCUGGAGCCGGCUGGUAACAGCCGGCCUAGAGGAAUGGUUGUCACGCGCCGCGCGCCGCAAGGCGGGCGGGGCGCACAGAAUCCGGCUUA